CGGUAACAGCUCAAAUUUGAAAGCUGGCUCUUUUAGGGUCCGCGUUGUAAUUUGUAGAAGAUGCUUCGGGUGUGGCCCCGGUCUAAGUUCCUUGGAACAGGACGUCAUAGAGGGUGAGAAUCCCGUAUGUGACUGGGUGCUUUCGCUCAUGUGAAGCUCUUUCGAC
rnacentral:rRNA from 1 species